rnacentral:rRNA from 1 species
CCUACGGGAGGCAGCAGUGAGGAAUAUUGGUCAAUGGACGUAAGUCUGAACCAGCCAAGUAGCGUGCAGGAUGACAGCCCUAUGGGUUUUAAACUGCUUUUAUGCGGGGAUAAAGUCAGCCACGUGUGGCUGUUUGCAGGUACCGCAUGAAUAAGGACCGGCUAAUUCCGUGCCAGCAGCCGCGGUAAUACGGAAGGUCCGGGCGUUAUCCGGAUUUAUUGGGUUUAAAGGGAGCGUAGGCUGUUGGUUAAGCGUGUUGUGAAAUGUAGAUGCUCAACAUCUGAAUUGCAGCGCGAACUGUCCGACUUGAGUGCGCGGAAAGCAGGCGGAAUUCGUUGUGUAGCGGUGAAAUGCUUAGAUAUGACGAAGAACUCCGAUUGCGAAGGCAGCUUGCUGUAGCGUAACUGACGCUGAAGCUCGAAAGUGCGGGUAUCGAACAGGAUUAGAUACCCUGGUAGUCCGCACGGUAAACGAUGGAUGCUCGCUGUGUGCUUAUUUUUAGUAUGCGGCUAAGGGAAACCAUUAAGCAUCCCACCUGGGGAGUACGCCGGCAACGGUGAAACUCAAAUGAAUUGACGGGG